GUGCAUUCCAGAAGGAAUCAGGCAGCAAAGCGCAACUAUGAAAGCAUUCUUGACUGUCAUACCCUCGAGUGCUGUGAGCGGGCUCUCUGCAAGGGUUCCAUAUCUGGGAACCAAAAACAUGAAAGAGAGAAAGAGAGAGACGGAGACACAGACGGAGACAGACAGAUGAUGGAUGCUUCCAGAGAUCCUCUCAUGUUGGCUGGGGGCUUAUUUGUCCAUAGUAAACCAGUUUUGUUAUGCUUUGAGCUUGUUCUUCAUUUGUGGUUCAUGUCUACCUGAUUUUGGAAACAAAAUGAAGCAGG